UACGGAGGAUGCAAGCGUUAUCCGGAAUGAUUGGGCGUAAAGCGUCCGCAGGUGGCUAUGUAAGUCUGCUGUUAAAGAGUCUAGCUCAACUAGAUAAGAGCAGUGGAAACUACAUGGCUAGAGUGCGUUCGGGGCAGAGGGAAUUCCUGGUGUAGCGGUGAAAUGCGCAGAUAUCAGGAGGAACACCAAUGGCGAAGGCAGCUCGCUGGGACGGUACUGACGCUGAGGCGCGAAAGCGUGGGGAGCAAACAGG
rnacentral:rRNA from 1 species